rfam:Petrimonas mucosa isolate ING2-E5A genome assembly, chromosome: I
UCAGCGGAGGCCGAAAAGCUAUACAGAGUAGGCA